GUCCUGCUGAAAGGUGAAUUCAUCUCCCAGUGUCUGGUGGAAAGCAGACUGAACCAGGUUAUUGUCCUGCUGAAAGGUGAAUUCAUCUCCCAGUGUCUGGUGGAAAGCAGACUGAACCAGGUUAUUGUCCUGCUGAAAGGUGAAUUCGUCUCCCAGUGUCUGGUGGAAAGCAGACUGAACCAGGUUAUUGUCCUGCUGAAAGGUGAAUUCGUCUCCCAGUGUCUGGUGGAAAGCAGACUGAACCAGGUUAUUGUCCUGCUGAAAGGUGAAUUCGUCUCCCAGUGUCUGGUGGAAAGCAGACUGAACCAGGUUAUUGUCCUGUUGAAAGGUGAAUUCGUCUCCCAGUGUCUGGUGGGAAGCAGACUGAACCAGGUUAUUGUCCUGCUGAAAGGUGAAUUCGUCUCCCAGUGUCUGGUGGAAAGCAGACUGAACCAGGUUAUUG